AGGUUUUGAGCAAGUAACCAUACUUGGAGUGAGUUCUUAAGUUCAACACUCAUCGAAGGUCCUAAAAACAGCGUUUACCAGCAUUCCUCCCCAUACCACUGUUCUUUCUGCAUGCUGCUCCUUAAUGUUCCUUGUCAGGGUAAGGAUGGUGGGAGAGAGUGGUAUAGAAAUCCCGUGUAAAGCUUAGAACCCAUGCUCACAGCAAGCAUUAGCCAUUUCUUACUACAAAAAGAUGUUCCUUUGACUAAAGUUUGGAGCAUCACAGAUCUAUAAAUAUGAACAUCAAUGUUUAGAAGCCAGUUUAACAAUAUUUUUGUAUAAUAUUUGAAAUAUUUUCUAUGCCUUUGCUAUGGUAUUCUCCACCUUGUUAGACACUCAUAAUUCAAAGACUUAUUUUUUUCCUGGCUCAGUGAUUAAGAACACAGACUGCUCCUCUUGAGGACCCAAGUUUGAUUCCCAACACCCAUUUCAGAGGCUUACAGCUACCUGAAACACCUGCUCCACCUCUGGCCUCAACAGACACUUGUAUUCAUGUACUCACAUCCAUAGCCAAACACACAUACUUGUAGCUUAAAUUUAAAUGAAAACAAAUGUACAAACACACACAUAUACACACAAUUAAAUUAAAAAAAUACAGCCAAGUGUGCAAACACACACAAACAUAUUAUUUUCCUGGUGUUCCAAAGUUGGCCUUUGUUCUGUGUUUUUUUUUCUUUUUUUUUUUUUUCGUAGCCUUGUCAUUACCUUUACUACGUGAGCAGAUACCUGCUUUCCACAUGCUCCAUCCCUCUGGUGAGGGAUGAACAUUCUGCUAUUGUACAUUCUGUUUAGUGUUUUGGGGUCUUCUUCUUGCAGUAUCUGUUGGUUUGGAUUUUCCUUAUCAACUCAAUGUCUUUACAGAACUCUGUUUUCAUCUCUUUAAUUGUGUUAAGCUCUUUGCUUCUGUACUCUUGGAGUCUAUCAUGUCUCCUCUGAGUUGUUGGAACACAUCUAUAACCAUUUUUUAUUAUUUUUUUGUUUAAAACUCUUCCAAGUACUCUCAUUGACAUUCUACUAUGAGAUUAGUAGUUUUUGGAUUACAAAUGUCCUUUUUCAUAUUGUUCUGUUUCUUUGCUUUGAUUUGUGUAUCUGUAGUUCGUUGACUAAGUCUUUCUUUCUUUCUAAUUGAAGUCACCUUUCUUCUCUUGGGAGAGGAUUAAGUUAUUGUAGGGCUGAAUUGUCAUUUCUUCUGUGGCACUUGCAUUCAAGGCUGCAGGUUUUAUUAUCCUGCUCUGAGAAUACACUGUCAUCUGCAGUAACACAGGCUCAGCAACUCCUAGUUUUUCCCUUUGUCUACAGCAUUCAAUGUGGGUUCCUGUGUCCAAACACCCUUCUGUGGGCUAGCUCUAACCAGUCACCUAUUUCCACAUCCUUCCUACUUUGUUCUUGGAUUCAGUAUGUCUGUAAACCCUACCCUGGGGCAGCUGCAGCCCCUCCCUGGGUUUUCACCUUCUGUUACCUGUUGUAAAAACCACAUGCCUUAGCACCUUACCCUGUGUUGGCACUGACGUCUUCCUUGAGUCCACAGAUGCUUCUGAGUGAUGCAGACCUCUUGUCUCCUGGGUGCCUUAACCUAUGUUAGUCCUGGCUAGUUCUGAAGCUUCUAUUGGGUCAGCAGCUUCUGGCCUGUGUUUUGACAUCUGUGCUGUGCUGACACCUUACCCUGGGUCAUCUCCAGGUCCUUCCUUGCCUCUCCAACUUCCAACAGACAUGGUAUGACUUGUAUGACUUGGGUGCUUGGUUGCCUCCCACUAAUUUUUUUUCUUAGAAAAUUAAAGAAAUCUAAUGAUUUGAACAAGAUUCAUUCUAAAAACAGUAUUUAUUCUAAGGAUUUGGGAUUUCUUUGAUAAUUAUAAACCAUACCACCAGCCUAUUUAACAUCUUCCCCAAUCUGAGACACAAUGUUUCAAAUGUAGUUUAUUGAAUUUUUUCCACUGUAAAAGAAGAAAUAUUCUUUUUAACAGAGCUUUUCACUUAAACUGGUGAUAAAGACAUUGAGCUGUCAAAACUAGACAACAAAACGUCCCACAUUAUCAGUCCCAAAUUAUAAAAACCACCCAAAUAAGCAGCAACAAAACUCUAUAAAGGAAUUCACAAAGUGAAAGAUUUGGUAGGAUGGUUUUAGUUGUGCGAUAUGUUUGACAGAGAUUCAGAGCACUCUCCUUGGAGGGAAAACACUGUGUGCAGUGCUGUGCUUUAUGGAGUUCUUUGGGACUUUGUUCACACCACCAACUCCAGGCACUACCCCCAGGAAAAUGUUCUAGUGCCUAUUUAUGGAUGGUAAUAACCUGAGUUUUCUAAUUCUUAUUAUAUAAUUAUAUCAGCCCCCAUUUUAUUCUCUUAAGUGUUGUUUUAAAAAUAUUUUUAGUGACUUGUCUAAUUCCUCCAUGUCUUGGAGACUUCUUUUUUUGUUUUUGAGAAUUCUUCCCAAGCUCUAAGAAAGAGUUCCAUGAAGAUAUAUACUAUCCUUAGCAAAAUGGAGCUAGGGUCCAAUAUUUUGAAAUUAUGUUUUCUGACUCUAUAUUUUUAUAUCAUGAAAUAGAAAAAUAAAAUUAACGAAGAAAGUGGGAAGCAGUACACACAGAGAAAAGAUGGUCAAACAAAGACCAGAAAUAUAGCAUACAUUGCAUGAAGGAGAUUGUUCCAUCCAUGGAGAUGGGGUGUUCCAAUAAACAGAGUUCUCUUAGACAUCCCUUAGUUCUGAUGCUCACUGGCCUCAAAUACAUACAUUUCACUUUCACUGAAUAAGCAUAGAGCACAAACUGAAGUAAUGAAAGAAUUGGGUUCAUCAAGAGAGGAGAGAAGAACCUAUACCAGGUUUAAGGGAUUCCAAGCUUUUAAAACUUUUAAAUGGAAGUGGCUUUGAACAUUUUAAAAUAACAGUACAUAUAUAGCUUUGUGCAAUAGUGUACAGUAAACUGUCAAAAUUUAAACAAUGCAUAGACUUUACUCUUUAUACUUUGGAAAG
rnacentral:lncRNA from 1 species